GACGAACGCUGGCGGCGUGCCUAAUACAUGCAAGUAGAACGCUGAAGGAGGAGCUUGCUUCUCUGGAUGAGUUGCGAACGGGUGAGUAACGCGUAGGUAACCUGCCUGGUAGCGGGGGAUAACUAUUGGAAACGAUAGCUAAUACCGCAUAACAGUAGAUAUCGCAUGAUAGCUGCUUGAAAGGUGCAAUUGCACCACUACCAGAUGGACCUGCGUUGUAUUAGCUAGUUGGUGAGGUAACGGCUCACCAAGGCGACGAUACAUAGCCGACCUGAGAGGGUGAUCGGCCACACUGGGACUGAGACACGGCCCAGACUCCUACGGGAGGCAGCAGUAGGGAAUCUUCGGCAAUGGACGGAAGUCUGACCGAGCAACGCCGCGUGAGUGAAGAAGGUUUUCGGAUCGUAAAGCUCUGUUGUAAGAGAAGAACGAGUGUGAGAGUGGAAAGUUCACACUGUGACGGUAUCUUACCAGAAAGGGACGGCUAACUACGUGCCAGCAGCCACGGUAAUACGUAGGUCCCGAGCGUUGUCCGGAUUUAUUGGGCGUAAAGCGAGCGCAGGCGGUUAGAUAAGUCUGAAGUUAAAGGCUGUGGCUUAACCAUAAUACGCUUUGGAAACUGUUUAACUUGAGUGCAAGAGGGGAGAGUGGAAUUCCAUGUGUAGCGGUGAAAUGCGUAGAUAUAUGGAGGAACACCGGUGGCGAAAGCGGCUCUCUGGCUUGUAACUGACGCUGAGGCUCGAAAGCGUGGGGAGCAAACAGG
rnacentral:rRNA from 1 species